UCAUUCACUCUUUACUCUUUAAUCAGAACAAUUCCAUAGCCUCUGUCCUUAAGGCUUUGUUUAGUUAGAGAGGAGGGGAGGGAGAUCUGAAUCCCUCCAAAUUUUCCCUCCCCUCUAACCAAACGCUACCUACGUAUUUUCCUAUUCAACUUCUCUUGGCCUCUCCAAUCUCCAUUAGCAAGUUCAUAUGUUCACUUACUUCCCUUAGUUGCUUUGAAUUUUGUCUGCUACUCAACCUUCGCUUCUCUAAUAUCCUCUAUGUUUCAUGCAUUUGCACUAGGCACCCCUACAUGUCCGUCCAUAGGUGGGGAUGCGGAAGAUGAUCCUUCAAUCGUCCUUUUCUGGUGGGAGUCAACCGUUCAUGACUGUCAACGGGCACUUCCAUCCACUCAACACGAUGGCGGAAGCUUCAUAAACCAAGGGCAAGAUUGGAAUCCACAUUUUAAUCCAAGACCUUCACCACCUUACCAUCCGAACCCACGAUGAUGGAGAAGCCUCCGUAGCUACUCACCCUUCACUCUGCGACAGAUCUAUAUUCAACCUUCCAUGACCCUGUUGAAUCAAGUGGCUGAACCCGUUAACAUUGUCGCUGCGCCUAGGAUCUCCACUUCCAUUUAUGGGUUCCGACAUGGCUUCCAGUGAUUAGUGUCAAGUGAACACAGUUUUGUGAUGUCGACAAUGAGGUAAUGUACAAUUUGCGAGUUCUCUGUGUAUUGUCCUUUCAUUAUAUUGUUGCUGCUGCUCAUAUUUUGGUGAGGAAUGCGUAGGUGAUGCAAUUAGAUGUGGGACGGAUGGUUGCCUCCGUGAUCCUUAUUCGAACUGCACUGUGUUAAAAUCGGAGAGAUGUUUUGUACUCUGUAUUUCGUUUCCUUUUGAAUGAAUUUUCCCUUUUCAUUAAAAAAAUUAAAACUAUUUAUAAAAUAAAGUCAGAGAAGUCUGGAAUAUAUGAAGAAUUAUUUAUGGUAUUGAUAGUAGGGGCCUGGUUUGCCACCAUCAGUGGACAUGGAUUCAAUCUUCAUUCUGGCAUUUUCUAUUGAGGGUCAUAUGAUUGUCCCAACAAUUCGUUUUCUUUUUGAACAUUUUUAAUGCAUGUUGAAUCAUUAAGUAGUCCUAUAGUUGUAUGUGUACUGUGAAAAAAGGGAGGACAUAUAGGUAAGGAAUUAUAGCUAUGAUGAGCCUCUUUCCCGUUAUAUUAAUUUACAUUACCGCUAUUUUGUAAAUUGCUUUUGCCCUUAAAUAUCAUCUAGAGAUGUGCUAAUAAAGCUUGCUGCUAUGGUACAAUGAUGAUGCGUUUGGUAAGGCUGUACAGUAGUAGCCAGUUUGAGGCUUAAUCAUUGUGGUGUAAUGUACCUGAAAGUAUCUUCAAGUUUGGAAUCUGUCAAAUUCGUUUUGGUAUGAUAUACCAUUAUUACAAAUAUAAUCGUAUUAUAUCUGGCAAAACUAUACCAUUGUAAGCUGACAUUCGCAAAGAUUUUCACUAGACGGUAAUGUUGCAAGGAUCAAAAAAUGACUGCUGGGAUUGUACACUCUGUUGACAUUCAUCCAUCAUGAAAGCACACUUGUCUAGUAAGAUGGUUAUCCCACUUCCCCUUAUUUCUUAUCGUGUUAAGACUUCUAUUUUGAUCAAUGUGAGCCACUAAUGUUUAUUUUCAUUAUUUAGUGUUUAAAUGCAUAUUAUUCUACAAAUAAUCAUUUCUUUUAAAGGUGUAAUAAUCUUGUAAGUUUUCAAUUACAAGUAUGAUAUUAUGCCAUGACAGUUACGAUAUGCUUCCAUCUCUACUGUAAUCUAACUAUUGCUUUGUGAGACUUUUUGUGAACUAUUACAAUAACUAUUGCUAUGACUUCACAGCAAGCUCAAAACUUUCUUUAAUAAAGUUAAACGUUAGAUGUUAUAUGAAGUUUUAACUACUGUUUGAAAAAGGCCAUUGCUUUUCUUUUGGUCCUUACCACCAAGUUCUAACAUUUCUGGAAUUGUAGUUUUUUUACCAGGCAACUGGUUCCUUAAGUACUCUUUUUGCCUGGUGUCUCAAGUGGCAGCAGCAGCCUAUUAUUCUUUCAAGGGCAAGGACGGGAGUGAAACAACGAAGUCCACUUACCAUUUGAAAGUGAGGCUUGGGAGGUUUAGUAUGAUCAUAACACUAAGUCUAACAUGCCAUCCAUGGAUCAACCUGGAUCUUAUCUGCCAUGAUCUGCUCAGAGGAUGGAUUCCUUGCUGUCAUUAAGCAUGGUUUGGUGGAAAGAGUAGGCAAACAAGCAAGGAGCAAGAAAACUCAAUAGCAUACAUUUUUUCCUUCCUAGAUUUAGUGACUUUCAUUUACGAAGAUACUGGAAUUUUGUUGAUUAUAUAGUUCAAAUAUAGAAAAUCACUUGCAAUUGA